GAACCAUAAUGUUAGUAACUGACAUGGUGUCAAUGACGGGGACUACCUGUAUCGGGUGCGUCCUGUCGCCAGGGUGACUCUGGAGGACCCCUCAACUGCCCUGCGACAGAUGGCACCUGGGAGGUCCAUGGCGUGACCAGCUUUGUUUCCUCCCGAGGCUGCAACACCCUCAAAAAGCCCACGGUGUUCACGCGAGUGUCGGCCUUCAUUGACUGGAUCGAGGAGACCAUAGCGAGCCACUAGGAGCCAGGCCGCCUGGCAGUGUGACCCCGCAUCCUUCAGAAAGAAUAAAGAUCUCUUGAAAAGUUGCAA